CUGCCCGGGUUUAUUGUUCGGAGUUUGCUCUCCUAGGCGGACUGCCUACCAUGGCUAACGACCUCCACCUGCCCGGGUUUAUUGUUCGGAGUUUGCUCUCCUAGGCGGACUGCCUACCACGGCUAACGACCUCCACCUGCCCGGGUUUAUUGUUCGGAGUUUGCUCUCCUAGGUGAAUUGCCUACCACGGCUAACGACCUCCACCUGCCCGGGUUUAUUGUUCGAAGUUUGCUCUCCUAGGUGAAUUGCCUACCAUGGCUAACGACCUCCACCUGCCCGGGUUUAUUGUUCGGAGUUUGCUCUCCUAGGUGAAUUGCCUACCACGGCUAACGACCUCCACCUGCCCGGGUUUAUUGUUCGGAGUUUGCUCUCCUAGGUGAAUUGCCUACCAUGGCUAACGACCUCCACCUGCCCGGGUUUAUUGUUCGGAGUUUGCUCUCCUAGGCGGACUGCCUACCACGGCUAACGACCUCCACCUGCCCGGGUUUAUUGUUCGGAGUUUGCUCUCCUAGGCGGACUGCCUACCAUGGCUAACGACCUCCACCUGCCCGGGUUUAUUGUUCGGAGUUUGCUCUCCUAGGCGGACUGCCUACCAUGGCUAACGACCUCCACCUGCCCGGGUUUAUUGUUCGGAGUUUGCUCUCCUAGGCGGACUGCCUACCAUGGCUAACGACCUCCACCUGCCCGGGUUUAUUGUUCGGAGUUUGCUCUCCUAGGCGGACUGCCUACCACGGCUAACGACCUCCACCUGCCCGGGUUUAUUGUUCGAAGUUUGCUCUCCUAGGCGGACUGCCUACCACGGCUAACGAGCCCCACCAACCUGGGCGGAUCUCCGGCACCUCCGUUGCAUCCCAGGGGGACGCCUUGUCGCCCCUCGGGAAGCUCUCCACUCGUGUCAUGCUCGCCAAGGAGACCUUGGGCUCGCUGACGCUCCACACCCCUACCGAGGCGAGGAUGUAAGAACCCGCUUCUUAAAACUACCAGACUGGAUUAUAAUAUUAAUGAAAAAUACCGUGAAGGGCCGUUUAUCGGUUCUGGGAUGGAAGACCGAUGGGCCUCGGGAACGCGCACAGAGUCUUAAAGGAAUCCUCGCGACGGCUUUCGGCGCAGCAUGCGUUUCCCUUUUCCUUUCUCACUCCCAAAUUUUCUUUUUUUAUAAUAUUUUCCUUCUCUGAUUGAUUGAUUGAUUUGUUGAUUUUAUUAAAUAAGAAUUAAUUCACCAAUUAACAUCUUUCAGGUACGUUGCAUUCACACACCUGCUGCAUGAGGGAAAACAACAGUGAGUUUGCUGACGCUCACGAGAGUUUCCUAACAUUUGCAUUGGGCUCCCUCCUCUCUUUAGUCGCCUCUUUCAUAAUUCUCCUAUUCUUUAUUUCAUUUUCUUCUUUCUUUCUUUCAUCCCUGCUCCGUCUAUAUAUUUUCUCUCUCUCUCUCUCUCUCUCUCUCUCUCUCUCUCUCUCUCUCUCUCUCUCUCUCUCUCUCUCUCUCUCUCUCUCUCUC